rnacentral:misc_RNA from 1 species
GCAGCAUGAUAUACUCGCUUCUCUGCCAAACCAAUAUCUGAAAGUAACAAAUUACCCUCAUGAGCCAUCAACCUCCGAACAUUCUCAGCAUAAAGUCUAGGGUCAUCCUUUUCUUGCUGAGAAGGGUAGUAAACAGGUAACCAGGUUGCCUCCACGUAAUUUACAAAUUGACAGAGAAGGAGAAUCACAUGCCGAGCCCCAGAUAUAGAGUCCCAUGCAGGACUUAAUCUCUGGUACGGAUAUCUUAGUAUCACAGGUUGCACUGGAGCCCCUGAGAGAAAUGCGCCACUCUUGAAUGGAAGGAGAAAAUCACCAUUUGUGGUUGUGCCCUCUGGAAAAAGCAGCAUGAUUGGUGCAGAUUUGUUCUGGUGAGCUUCACGAAUCCUUUCAUUUACAACACCUGAGACACCUUUAAAAUCAGGUGAUUUAGAUUCCCUCUGGACAUAGACACAGCCAAGGCACUUGCUGAUUAGACCAACCAGAG